AUUGAACGCUGGCGGUAUGCUUAACACAUGCAAGUCGAACGGUAACAGGCCUUCGGGCGCUGACGAGUGGCGGACGGUGAGUAACGCGUAGGAAUCUGCCUCAUAGUGGGGACAACGUGGGGAAACUCACGCUAAUACCGCAUACGCCUACGGGGAAAACGGGGGAUCUUCGGACCUCGCGCUAUGAGAUGAGCCUGCGUUAGAUUAGCUAGUUGGUAGGGUAAAGGCCUACCAAGGCGACGAUCUAUAGCUGGUCUGAGAGGACGAUCAGCCACACUGGGACUGAGACACGGCCCAGACUCCUACGGGAGGCAGCAGUGGGGAAUAUUGGACAAUGGGCGCAAGCCUGAUCCAG
rnacentral:rRNA from 1 species